GAAAGCGAAAGCGACUGGGGGGAAGAGACAGAGGCCUGACUCGCCCCUCCAGGUUGUGGGAGAGAAGGGAUUCUUUACGUAUUUUCCUUUCCUUGCAAGCUCGGUGCGUGUGGGUUUUGGCGUUGGUCUGGGGGUGGUGUUCUGCCUGAAUGCUGGUGUGCAUGGGCAGUGUGUUGUUUGGGUGCUGGGGUAGGAUGCCUGCCUCUUCGGAUUGCUGUGCAGGGGCCUGAACACAGCAGGCAUUUGUGAGCAUAUAUGCGUGAGUGUGCACUGUGUUAGGGUGUGUGUGUGUGUGUGUAUGUGUGUGUGUGUGUGAGAGAGAGAGAGACAGAGAGAGAGAGGCAGGCUUCCCCCUGGGCCAGGCUGCUGUCCCCUGAACGGUGGUGAACAAAUCUCUAACAACAAUCAUAAUAACAAUAAAUAAUGAAUAAUAAUAAUAAAACAGUAGUUAACAGUCCCUCCAUAACAGAAUAACAAUAAAAUGCAAGAGGAAAUAUUUUGAGGUGGAGACAGAAGAAGGAGUCAGGAUCACAGCAUCUGAGGGGGAGAUAGGAAAGGAAGGGAGGAAGAAAGCUUCUUAAUAUGCUCUUGGCGGGGCUGGGGUUGGGAACCCCUUUCCCAGACAAGGGACAGAAGAGGGGAAGGAGGGCCAGGAGGCCACUCUUUAUUGCUUUUUUUCUCAGGCUUCUGCUUUGUGUGAUCAGGGAAGGGAUCCCACAUAUGGGGAUGGUUAAUGGCUUUUGGGACUCUCUAGGAGCCCCUGUUUUAAGAAGGAGGCCAAAUGUGCAGGCUCAGGCCAAGGGGCAGAGAUGAAUGAGGCGAUGACCACAGCCUUGAUCCGGCAGGAGCUCAGAGAUGCCCGGGAAGACGGGGGGGCCCGAACGGAAGCAGAAAAACACUUAUGGCCGCUGGGGAGUUGGGAGAGCCAGGCUGGGGCUUCGGCAGGCCCAGGGAAAGUUCCCUUUCUAGGCUCUUUAUUAACAAAUUUAAAAGGAGGAGUCGAGGCGCCUUGAAUUUUCCUUCGCGAGUUUGGAGACUAGCCGAUUUUUCAUGAAGCAAGCAAAGACCGCGGUCCCGGAUCCUGCAACAUCUACCUCAUUCUCUCCAGGCCUCUCCACUUGCCCGAGCUCUCAGCCACCAGGAGACAGAAGGAAGGGACUUCUGGGCUGCGUUGGGAGCGGGCACUGUCCCCUAUCCACUCCUGCUCGGUUUCCCAAAGUCCAGCGACAUCCGACCCUCCUGGGGGGAAAAAUACCAAUACCCAGACACCUCUGCACCCUGUUAUAUGACUGGGCUUGCUUCAGGAAUAUCUUACAAAGAAGAAGAAGAAGAAGAAAGAACGGCUUGGAGUCAUGUUUACAUCUAGUUCUACUGAUCGGUUCCCAUCUGGAGAGUUUAUUUAUAACUCCCUCUAUAACUCUCUGUUUGGAGGCACUGGUGGCUCUAUUGACAGACUGAUGUCUAGGAAAUAUUGCUCUAUGUCUAACCGUACCUAAAUGUGCUGUGGUUGUAUUUACAGAUUUAUGUUUGAAGGAAAUAUAAUUAUUUCCAUUGUAUUUGUGCAUAUACAGUAGUUAUAGGAGCAGAUUUAUAUAUGGGAAAAUAUACGACUCUCUUACAGCCA